GUUUCAGACUCUCAAGGGGAUGGCGGUCAUUGAUUUCCAGGCUUAAGACAAUGAUAAAGACUUCCAGAUACGAAUGAGCCUAUAUGGAAUCCAGCCAGUCUACCUGAAAGGAGUUUCCAUGCAAGUGAUGUAUGUGUUUUCAAGCUUUCCGCACCCUCCUGAAUGCAGCCUUGUCUGCCAUCAGCCCUAGGAGGGCAUCUCAGGUCUCCACUUGGUGGACCCUGGAGGAAAACACGGUGGACGCUGGAGGAACCUCCUGGCUUCAGCACCUCUUCUCACACUGGGUUUCUUCUAGUGGAGCCAACAAAAGGUCACAGUCUUAUUUCAUGUCCUCUGAGCACAGAAGAAAACUAGACAACAGAUAAAAGGAUGAUCAGUUCUGAAUGCUCAAAGCCUGGCUUAGUCAGCCUCUCC
rnacentral:lncRNA from 1 species